AUACGUAUGUCGCAAGCGUUAUCCGGAAUUAUUGGGCGUAAAGCGAGUCUAGGCGGCUUGUUAAGCCAGAUGUGAAAAUGCGGGGCUCAACUCCGUAUUGCGUUUGAAACUGGCAGGCUAGAGUACUGGAGAGGUGGGCGGAACUACAAGUGUAGAGGUGAAAUUCGUAGAUAUUUGUAGGAAUGCCGAUAGUGAAGACAGCUCACUGGACAGAUACUGACGCUAAAGCUCGAAAGCGUGGGGAGCGAACAGGAUUAGAAACCCUAGUAGUCC
rnacentral:rRNA from 1 species